AUAAAUAAAACCUGCUCACUGACUUUUAAAGAGCCGCAGUAUACUAACUGUGCUAAGGUAGCAUAAUCAUUUGUCUCCUAAUUAGAGACUAGAAUGAAAGGUACAACGAGAAAUAACCUUUUCCUCAAACAACUAAAAAUUUGCAUUUAAAUCAAAAGAUUUAAAUAGAUCAGCAAGACGACAAGACCCUAUAAAACUUUACUUUGCAUAAUAUUAAGAAAAUAUAGAACAAUUAUACUAACCAAAGUUAAGCUGGGGCGGUAUUUAUAAAAUAACUAACUAUACUAAUCUAAACAUUUAUAUAUGUAUAAAUAAAUCUUUAAUUUAAACAAAAAAUAAGUUACUUUAGGGAUAACAGCGUAAUAUUAUUUAAGAGUCCAUAUCUACAAUAAUGAUUACGACCUCGAUGUUGAAUUGGGACCCCUACUGUAAGCAGAAAUAUAAUUAGGAAGUCUGUUCGACUU
rnacentral:rRNA from 1 species